rnacentral:rRNA from 1 species
UAGUCCACGCCCUAAACGAUGAUUACUCGAUGUGUGCAAUACACCGUACGCGUCUAAGCGGAAGCGUUAAGUAAUCCACCUGGGAAGUACGUUCGCAAGAAUGAAACUCAAAGGGAUUGACGGGGGCCCGCACAAGCGGAGGAGCAUGUGGUUUAAUUCGAUGAUACGCGAGGAACCUUACCUGGGCUUGAAAGUUAGUGAAUAACUUGGAAACAGUUAGUCAGCAAUGACACGAAACUAGGUGCUGCAUGGUUGUCGUCAGCUCGUGCCGUGAGGUGUUGGGUUAAGUCCCGUAACGAGCGCAACCCUUAUCAUUAGUUACCAGCGAGUAAUGUCGGGGACUCUAAUGAGACUGCCUACGCAAGUAGUGAGGAAGGUGGGGAUGACGUCAAAUCAUCACGGGCCCUUACGUCCUGGGGCUACACACGUGCUACAAUGGGUAGGGGACAGAGAGCAGCCACUGGGGCGACCAGGGGANCGGAAUCUAUAAACCCUAUCACAGUUCGGGAUCGGGAGUCU